GAUGAACGCUGGCGGCGUGCUUAACACAUGCAAGUCGAACGGAAAGGCCCUGCUUUUGUGGGGUGCUCGAGUGGCGAACGGGUGAGUAACACGUGAGUAACCUGCACUUGACUUUGGGAUAACUUCAGGAAACUGGGGCUAAUACCGGAUAGGAGCUCCUGCUGCAUGGUGGGGGUUGGAAAGUUUCGGCGGUUGGGGAUGGACUCGCGGCUUAUCAGCUUGUUGGUGGAGUAGUGGCUUACCAAGGCUUUGACGGGUAGCCGGCCUGAGAGGGUGACCGGCCACAUGGGGACUAAGAUACGGCGCAGACUCCUACGGGAGGCAGCAGUGGAGAAUAUUGCACAAUGGGCGGAAGCCUGAUGCAGCAACGCCGCGUUCGGGAUGACGUCCUUCGGGUUGUAAACCGCUUUCGCCUGUGACGAAGCGUGAGUGACGGUAAUGGGUAAAGAAGCACCGGCUAACUACGUG
rnacentral:rRNA from 1 species